rnacentral:lncRNA from 1 species
AUCCAUUUUCCCCCCACACACUCAUUUCCUUGAUUCAAAUUGUGUAAGUAAUUGCGCUUGGAAUACUGUAAGUGAAUGAAAGGGGGUAUAAUGAUGCUAUGCUAUCAAGAAAUCCUUCUGGUUUGGGUUUUUUUUUUUUUUCCCUGUCAGGACUGCUGAGGGAAGUGAGACACAGCCCAGAGCUGUGUCUGAGCAAGCAGGAAAGGAGAGAGGCAGGCGAGUCCUGCAGCUCUGGACCUCCUCCAGCUGUGAGGUGCUCCUUGCUGGCCCAGCCCAGCAGCACUGGCUGUAGGGAACAUUCCACAGCCCUGCCUGCAUCCUGGGAAGGAGCUGCCCUUCCGCUGGCUACCCCACACCAGGGACAGAAGGAGCAAGGCUCCUCUUAGGCCUCGGGGAUGUCUUCUGAGCCCUCCUCCUCCUCCUCCUCCUCCUCCUCGCAGUGCCCCGCCUCGCCGCCCUCGCCCAGCUCGCUGCACCUGCCCGAGAGCCGCCGGCCGCGGGAGCGCUCCCCCUCGCCCAUGAGGGGCUACCUGAUCCCCAGCCCGCUGCCCACCCGCCGCACCAGGGGGGGGGGGGGGGGGGGGGGGGGGGGGGGGGGGGGGGGGGGGGGGGGGGGGGGGGGGGGGGGGGGGGGGGGGGGGGGGGGGGGGGGGGGGGGGG